rnacentral:rRNA from 1 species
AUACGGAGGGUGCAAGCGUUACUCGGAAUCACUGGGCGUAAAGCGCGCGCAGGCGGGCUGAUAAGUUGGAUGUGAAAGCCUACGGCUCAACCGUAGAACUGCAUCCAAAACUGUCAGUCUAGAGUGUGGGAGAGGAAGAUGGAAUUAGUUGUGUAGGGGCAAAAUCCGUAGAGAUAACUAGGAAUACCAAAAGCGAAGGCAAUCUUCUGGAACACUACUGACGCUGAGGCGCGAAGGCGUGGGGAGCAAACAGGAUUAGAAACCCGAGUAGUCC